rnacentral:lncRNA from 1 species
AUGGAAGGGGAAGACAAAUCUGUUCUGUUUGGUUUCCAUAGAUUCGACCCAGAGAUUAACUGCCAAGGUCUUGAUGACACACACAAUAUCAAUCAUGGGCUAAAUGUCAUAAUGAGAGCUGGGCAGGUUGUCAAGAGAGGCCUCCAGGUUUCUGUUACAGCUUCAUAUUUAAAGGUUUGGUCCCAGGAAACUAAAUGCCAUCCUGAAGGCUACUUGGCCUGUCUCUGCCCCAAAGGAGAGCAGGCUCCUUCCUGGAGGGGCCAAGCAGAAGAAAAAUAUCAAAAUGUCAAUGCUGUGAGCAAGUGGCAGGACUCCAGGAGAUUUUUUUUUUUUCUGUUUUCUAUUUUGGGAUUCUUUGAAUAAAUAAUCAUAUUUUAUAGUAAAUCACCAUGUCUAUAUUUUUAAACUGUGCUGACCAAGCAGAACAGCUGGGCAGGAAGCUGCCUGUGACUUGUAAUUCGUGAUUCCUAUUCUAUCUUCCUUGCUCCUGGACCUGGCACUUUCCUGGAGGCCCCCUCUGCCACCCUGUCCCUCUCUCCCUGCAUUCGCUGGCUCCAGGCCCUGCCCUGAUCUGCUCUCACAGCCCCAACAAUCACUGAAGACUCUUGGGUCUAUACAUCACAUCCUCCCUGGGUGUCACUUUCUUCUUGAUAAAAUGGAGCUAUAACAAAAAGGGUAAAGAUAGUUUUGAAAAUAAACAAAAAACCUGACCUGAGCUCUUUCUAAGG